rnacentral:tRNA from 1 species
CGGGGCGUGGCGCAGUCUGGUAGCGCACCUGCUUUGGGAGCAGGGGGUCCCCAGUUCGAAUCUGGGCGCCCCGA